GGAAGUAAAAGUCGGUAACAAGGUCUCCGUUGGUGAACCAGCGGAGGGAUCAUUACCGAGUUUACAACUCCCAAACCCUAUGUGAACCUUACCUUUUGUUGCUUCGGCGGGAUCGCCCUGGCGCUUCACGGCGCCGGAUCUCAGGCGCCCGCCGGAGGCCCAAAACUCUUGUUUAUUAAUGUUUCCUCUCCGAGUGGCACAAGCAAAAUAAAUCAAAACUUUCAACAACGGAUCUCUUGGUUCUG
rnacentral:misc_RNA from 1 species